UUCCUCUCGAUCGAGGGACACGCCAGCGCCUGCCGCAAGCUUGCGCAUAUUGUUACGUCCGUCCUCACCAUAAGCGUCGGCGGAAUAGAGAAUGCCCAGCUUCUUCCAUCCAGCUCGGCGAGCGUAGUCCAGCACCUUGGCCACAGACAGAUCGCCGCCCUGUCCGGGGCGGAAUACCCAUUUGCGCUCGGCGACCGGCUCAACCACACUCACGCCGGACACCGGGCACAGCAGCGCAACUUCGGCCUCGGUCACAAUCGGAAUGGCAGCCCUUUC
rnacentral:misc_RNA from 1 species